AUCGCUUCUCGGCCUUUUGGCUAAGAUCAAGUGUAGUAAAACUUUCUUCAAUAGUGCUUCUAUUAAUAUAAAUAGAAUUUAAUUUUUGCGUAGGUGUAUGAUUCUUACAAGAAACAUUUCUCCCCACGAUGUCAGAAAUUCAAGUACAUUUCUUAGAAACAUCAUUUAUUCA
rnacentral:snRNA from 1 species